GUUGAUUCAGUCUUUUAUCCUUCUGAGGUUGGUAAAAUGAAGACCCAGAUUGUUGGGGAUAAAAUGCUGAUGUUGUAAAUGCUCAGAGGUGGUAUAUUUUGG